AGGCAAAGGCAGGGCCAAGCCUGCCCGCUACUCUGGGCCCUGACCCAGGGAGGUGAUAGCUGGCAGCCGCUCACUGCCUCUCCUUCCCCUCUGCCACUACCUGCUUUCCCUGGGCCACUUCCCCGUAGCCCCAGCACCUACUCGGCCCCUGUGUCGAGGCCACAGUCUGGGAGCCAGCCAGGCUGGAGCUCCGCCUGCUCCCCUGACACUGCCCAGCACUGCUCUGUCCCAGGCCCUGGACCACUGUG